rnacentral:lncRNA from 1 species
AGAAACAGAUACAAGACAUUUUACUUGACCGCUGGAGCCACAUGUACAGAUGUUUAAGAUCUGCACUGCCCAAGUGUGGAAUAUCUGAAGAACACUAUAUAAGCAAUACAGGUGGACUUAUGAGAUCAUGUACACGGCCAUAGAGAAUCCAGGCCCUCCAGAGGACAUCUGAGGCUAUGUACACAUCCAACGGAAUCCACAAUGUAGUACCAUUACUCUAAAACACAAAGUCUCUGCUCAUUAGUCACAGAUCCAAAGAUCCCCUGAGGCCCCUGAGUGAAGUUGGGCAUGGAUGCCAGGUGGAUGGUGGUUUGGUCACAGCCCGAGGGAGGAGGCUGAGUAUUUCACCAUGUCUCUAACACCAGGGCUACAUCCCUGCUGCUGAAGUCAGCCUUUAUCCAGUAGCUGAUGGAAGCAGAAGCAGACACCCACAGCUAAGCACUGAGCCAAACUCCUGGAAUUAGUUGCAGAGAGAGAGGAGUGAUGAGCAAAAGGGUCAAGACCAGGCUGGAGAAACCCACAGAAACAGCUGACCUGACCAAGUGAGAGCACACAGACCCCAGUGUGACAGCUGGGGAACCAUCACUGGACUGAACCAAGUCUCCUGAAUGUGGGUGUCAGUUAGGAGGCCUGGGCAAUCUAUGGCACUUCUGACAGUGGAACCAGUAUUUAUCCCUAGU